AUUGAACGCUGGCGGCAGGCUUAACACAUGCAAGUCGAACGAGUGGCGGACGGGUGAGUAAUACUUGGGCAUCUAGCUUAUGGAGGGGGAUAACUACGGGAAACUGUAGCUAAUACCGCGUACAAUAGGAUGAGCUCACGUGGGAUGAGGUAGUUGGUGAGGUAAAGGCUCACCAAGCCGACGAUCUCUAGGUGGUCGGAGAGGAUGACCCGCCACACGGGGACUGAGACACUGCCCAGACUCCUACGGGAGGCAGCAGUGGGGAAUAUUGCGCAAUGGGGGCAACCUGACGCAGCCAUGCCGGGUGAAUGAAGAAGGCCUGCGGGUGGUAAAGUUCUUUCGGUAGCGAGGCGUUAACUACAGAAUAAGCACCGGCUAACUCCGUGCCAGCAGCCGCGGUAAUUC
rnacentral:rRNA from 1 species